CAGUCGUACCUGCGGGUAAUCAGCCUCUUGGGCAUGAUUCUGUGGAGCGUGAGGAGUUAAACGCCUUCAUGCCUGCAUAUUCGUGUACUUUUGGGUGUACUUGCCUGUGUGGUUAGUUAACAUCAAUUUUGGUAUCAUAAAUGGUUGGAGAAUGUAGCUUCGAUCUCGUAUUGAAGUGUUAUAGCCUUCGGCAGAUGUGAUGAUCGGGAUUGGAGGAUUGCAACGGAUACCCGUUCGGGGCUACCCGUCUGAUCUCUGAUCGUUGCUCGUGGUACCGAAGCGUGCUUACGGUUAUCAAAGUCGAUGGUACAAC
rnacentral:rRNA from 1 species